UAAAUAAGCGGAGGAAAAGAAACCAAAUGGGAUUCCCUCAGUAACGGCGAGCGAACAGGGAUAAGCCCAGCGCCAAGUCCUGAUGCUUGACGUAUUCAGGAGAUGCGGCGUUUGUGUACUGGUGCAUCACAUGUUGCUUUGUGCUUCAAAUUCCUUUGACAGGGAUUCCCAUAGUGGGUGCUAGGCCCAUAGAGGCUGCGAAGCUGGCAUGUGCAAAUCAGUGCAUCUUAGAGUCAGGUUGCUUGAGAGUGCAGCCUAAAGUAGGUGGUAAACUCCAUCUAAGGCUAAAUAUUACAGCGAGACCGAUAGCAAACAAGUACUGUGAAGGAAAGUUGCAAAGAACUUUGAAGAGAGAGUUCAAAAGGACGUGAAACCACUGGCAGGUAAACAGGUAGAACCACGAAGUAUACUCAGAAGGCGAUUCAAUCCACAUUGGUGGUUGGCUGUGCUUGUAUGUUGAGUCUUUUCGAAGGCUUUGCAAGUGCCGUCGGCGACUACCAAUGUUGAUGCAUUUUGUCCUUUUGAUGUGAAGCCACGUCUGACUAGGUGGUUGGAAUGGCCGUAGUGWGUGGCUUGAAGAAGGUGGCCGUCAUGUGUCUUGUAUGCAURAUGGUGUUAUAGCUUCGAGUCCGUGCCAUUGCCUAACGAGCUGGUCAGUGCAAUUGUUCCAAAUUGGAAUGUUGCUAGUAAUGGUCAUGUGUGCCUGUGGCUUUGAUGCAYCACUGUUUGGYUAUUCUUUCGUCAUUUUCGGAUGCGUAAAGGUAGCCUUGCUGAUAUUGGUGUAUUGAAGUUGCUGUUGCAUGAUGUGACUGUAUGCAAACUGUGGUGCGAGUAGGUCGGUCUCUACCUGACCCGUCUUGAAACACGGACCAAGGAGCCUAACAUGUACGCGAGUCGCUCGGUCUUGAUUAGGCCAGAGAGGCGCAAUGAAAGUAAUGCUACGAAAUUGCCACUCUGUGGUGAUUGCAGUAGCGGCCCGCCGGCUUUCUUUAUUGAGGAUAUGGCGGAGCUGGAGCGUACACGUUGGUACCCGAAAGAUGGUGAACUAUGCCUGGGCAAGAUGAAGCCAGAGGAAACUCUGGUGGAGGUCUGCAGCGGUUCUGACGUGCAAAUCGAUCGUCAGACCUGGGUAUAGGGGCGAAAGACUAAUCGAACCAUCUAGUAGCUGGUUCCCUCCGAAGUUUCCCUCAGGAUAGCAGGCGCUUGUUGAAUCAGUCUCAUCCGGUAAAGCUAAUGAUUAGAGGUCUUGGGAUCGAAACGAUCUCAACCUAUUCUCAAACUUUAAAUGGGUGAGAUGCUUGACUUGCUUGAUUUGAAGCCAAGCAAUCGGAUGUGAGUGCCUAGUGGGCCAGCUUUGGUAAGCAGAACUGGCGCUGUGGGAUGAACCAAACGUCGAGUUAAGGCAUCUAAUGCAUACGCUCAUCAGAUCCCAUGAAAGGUGUUGGUUGCUAUAGACAGCAGGACGGUGGCCAUGGAAGUCGGAAUCCGCUAAGGAGUGUGUAACAACUCACCUGCCGAAGCAACUAGCCCUGAAAAUGGACGAUGCUGUAGCGUGGAGCCGAUACUCGACCGUCAUUGGCGAUCUCUAUCAGAAAGCGAUGCCAUGACGAGUAGGAGGGCCGUAGUGAUAGCGUUGAAGGUGUCAGACGUGAGUCUGCCUGGAGCUGUCACUAAUGCAGAUCUUGGUGGUAGUAGCAAAUACUCAAGUGAGAAUCUUGAGGACUAACGUGGAGAAGGGUUUCAUGUGAACAGCAGUUGAACAUGAGUCAGUCGGUCCUAAGGAAGCGGUGAAAACUGUUACAACGGCCACGAUUCUAAUUGAAUGAUACGGUGGACGAUUUUCCGAAAGGGCAUCGGGUUAAUAUUCCCGAACUCAGAUGCAGAGGAUGUAGCUUCGGCUACUGAUGCGGUAACGCUGUCAAACUCGGAGACGUCGGCAAUAGCCCUGGGAAGAGUUGUCUUUUCUCUAUAAGGUGUAUCGACUCCAUGAAAACAGCUUGCCUGGAGAUAUGGAUGUUGAUACCGAAGAGCUCUGCGGUUCUUGCAGAGUCCGGUGCGCUAUUGUCGGCCCUUGAAAAUCCGAGGGCGAAUUUUUACCUGUGCACUGAGCCGUACCGAUAUCCGCAGCAGGUCUCCAAGGUUAACAGCCUCUAGUUUCUAGAAUAAUGUAGGUAAGGGAAGUCGGCAAAACUGAUCCGUAACUUCGGGACAAGGAUUGGCUCUGAAGGAUGGGCCGGUCGGGCUGUGAUUAGCAGCAGGCGUUGCUUCGACUGGGACUGGACUGGUGUCUUCGGACUCUGGACUGGACCUGUGUUGAGGUUUGCCCGUGAAAGAUCAUAGCUACGCCUUGCCAUYUCGGUGGUGAGUGUCGUUUCGGCCGGCAUGAAACAUCUGACUCAGAACUGGCACGGACUCCGGGAAUCCGACUGUCUAAUUAAAACAAAGCAUUGCGAUGGCCGGCGAUCGGUGUUGACGCAAUGUGAUUUCUGCCCAGUGGUAU
rnacentral:rRNA from 1 species